GCCUCGUUGGCGCAGCAGGCACCGCGUCAGUCUCAUAAUCUGAAGGUCAUGUUUUCGAUCCUCACACGGGGCA
rfam:Salmo salar isolate Sally breed double haploid chromosome ssa16, whole genome shotgun sequence.